CAUUGAGAAUGCAAAAAAGUUUGAGUCGAGUAAGUCAUGUAUAUUUCUUUCUAUCUUGUAAUUUAUUCGCAUAUCUAUCUAUUGAGUGAAUACUUUAUUUAAUCUCUUUUUUGGUUUUUAUAUUUGGAUUGUCUUACCGAGGACAUUAUCAUUGGUAAAUAGACUUCAUUUUACGGAAACUUCGAUUUUGUGGUGAGUAAAUAGACUUCAUCAAUAGCUUUCUUUUCAACCCCUUCUCAAGGUGCAUAACAACGACCCGAUCGAGUGAUGGCGUCAAUUUCAUUCGUUCCAUAAUUCCAUGGAUUAGCUCUUUGAUGAAACAUUGGAGUAACUUCAAUACUUAUUUCCUCAUCCUUCACAAUGAUAGUAAUUUGAUCACAAUAGGCUCGAAGUCAUCUUUCGAGAUUUCAAUUGACUCGAAGUCUUUUACCAAUAGGUCUAUUACAACAGACUCUACACCCAUUGGCUUGAUUUCAUAGGAAGCACUUCCUUCAGUCAAGUCAAUCACAAUAGGUUCUAUCCCCAUCGGCUUGAUUUCAUAGGAGGCAUUUUCUUCGGACAAGUCAAUCACAAUAGGAGUUAUCAUAACUACCCUCCCUUCUUCAUGUUCCAGGAUGUCUUCCAUACCACCCCAUCCAUCAGGGACAAUGUCUUUAAGAUCAACAAAGAAACUCGGAGGAAGCGAGUAUUUAACGUAGUAGAGGUUUAACCACUUCUGGUGUAAGAUCGACAUUGAGAUUUUCAUGGCCUCCAUUUCCUCAACUAUUGUCUUAGUGGGUACGACUUCGACUUCUUUCUCUUCAAAAUCGCAAAUUAAAUUCUUGGAAGAUAGAUCAAUAACGGCCGACAUCAUCAUGGUAUCCGAAUCUUCUCCCAUGUUCUGGAUUAUUCCCAUGUCAAUCAUCUUGGAUAUGCACACCAUCUUUUCUUCUCUUAAGAUGUCAUUGCCUUUUUCAUAGUGUCUAGCUACCCGGAUCUCAUGCAGCUUGGGUAUAUCUACUAUAAAGGCUUGCUUAACUGCAUUCGUCUCAACCAUGUUCACACCUUCGGUAUAAUCGGGCAAUGGAUUUUGUUGCGCAUUCAAAACAGCAUCGUUGAAAGACAAGGUCCCUUUGUUGAGCAAACUUUGGACCUUGAUCUUCAACAUCAAAGAGCUGUCGGUACUAUGGCCUUUCACGCCCAAAUGGUAUUUGCAAGUUUUUGUAAUGUCGAAUUCGAUGAACUUUGGAGGAUUAUCUCGUGGAACCUCAUUGGCUACCAUUCUUUAUUCGAGGAGCAUGGGCAGAAGCUAUGAUAAUGGUCUCGGCAACGGAGAAAAUUGCCUUUGCGGUGCUU